AAGAAGGCCUUCGGGUUGUAAAGCACUUUAGGUGGGGAAGAAGGUUGGUAUUUAAGAGAUAACCAAUUUGACGGUACCCGCAGAAUAAGCACCGGCUAACUCUGUGC
rnacentral:rRNA from 1 species